GAUGAACGCUGGCGGCGUGCCUAAUACAUGCAAGUCGAGCGAACAGACGAGGAGCUUGCUCCUCUGACGUUAGCGGCGGACGGGUGAGUAACACGUGCAUAACCUACCUAUAAGACUGGGAUAACUUCGGGAAACCGGAUCUAAUACCGGAUAAUAUAUUGAACCGCAUGGUUCAAUAGUGAAAGACGGUUUUGCUGUCACUUAUAGAUGGAUCCGCGCCGCAUUAGCUAGUUGGUAAGGUAACGGCUUACCAAGGCAACGAUGCGUAGCCGACCUGAGAGGGUGAUCGGCCACACUGGAACUGAGACACGGUCCAGACUCCUACGGGAGGCAGCAGUAGGGAAUCUUCCGCAAUGGGCGAAAGCUUGACGGAGCAACGCCGCGUGAGUGAUGAAGGUCUUCGGAUCGUAAAACGCUGUUAUUAGGGAAGAACAAAUGUGUAAGUAACUAUGCACGUCUUGACGGUACCUAAACAGAAAGCCACGGCUAACUACGUG
rnacentral:rRNA from 1 species